rnacentral:rRNA from 1 species
UGGGGAAUAUUGCACAAUGGGCGAAAGCCUGAUGCAGCGACGCCGCGUGAGGGAUGACGGCCUUCGGGUUGUAAACCUCUUUCAGUAGGGACGAAGCGCAAGUGACGGUACCUGCAGAAGAAGCACCGGCUAACUACGUGCCAGCAGCCGCGGUAAUACGUAGGGUGCGAGCGUUGUCCGGAAUUACUGGGCGUAAAGAGCUCGUAGGCGGUUUGUCACGUCGUCUGUGAAAUCCUAGGGCUUAACCCUGGACGUGCAGGCGAUACGGGCUGACUUGAGUACUACAGGGGAGACUGGAAUUUCUGGUGUAGCGGUGGAAUGCACAGAUAUCAGGAAGAACACCGAUGGCGAAGGCAGGUCUCUGGGUAGUAGCUGACGCUGAGGAGCGAAAGCAUGGGUAGCGAACAGG